GAUGAACGCUGGCGGCGUGCUUAACACAUGCAAGUCGAACGAUGAAGCCCAGCUUGCUGGGUGGAUUAGUGGCGAACGGGUGAGUAACACGUGAGUAACCUGCCCUUGACUCUGGGAUAAGCCCGGGAAACUGGGUCUAAUACCGGAUAGGAGCGCCUGUCGCAUGACGGGUGCUGGAAAGAUUUUUCGGUCAUGGAUGGACUCGCGGCCUAUCAGCUUGUUGGUGAGGUAAUGGCUCACCAAGGCGACGACGGGUAGCCGGCCUGAGAGGGUGACCGGCCACACUGGGACUGAGACACGGCCCAGACUCCUACGGGAGGCAGCAGUGGGGAAUAUUGCACAAUGGGCGGAAGCCUGAUGCAGCGACGCCGCGUGAGGGAUGACGGCCUUCGGGUUGUAAACCUCUUUCAGCAGGGAAGAAGCGAAAGUGACGUACCUGCAGAGAG
rnacentral:rRNA from 1 species